rnacentral:rRNA from 1 species
AAACAACUCUCAGCAAUAGAUAUCUCAGCUCUCACAUCGAUGAAGAACGUAGCAAAAUACGAUACUUGGUGUGAAUUGCAGAAUCCCGUGAACCAUCGAGUCUGUAAACGCAAGUUAUGCCCAAAGCCAUUAGUCCGAGGGUACGUCUGCCUGGGCAUCACGCA